CAGAGGUGCAGGGAGAGAGAAGGGGAGUAGGGAAAGAGAGAGAUAUGUGGGUUUGGGAGAGGCAGAUGACAUGAGACGAGAAAGGACAUAUAAUGAAACUUUUUCUGAGGAUAUAUGUAGCAGUAGUCAGACCUGUCUGAUGUAUGUGGUCUUGGUGUGGUGCAAUGACAGAAACCCCUUUACUGACACUGCAGCACAAUAGUAAAGAUAUAUAGCUGACAAGAGGUCAUCAUCCUGUCAUGUCUACAGAUGGUUCUGCUGCUGCCAACACAAAUACAUCACCCAGAGCCCACCCACACAACAGACACAGUCACAGCCUUUAUUAUAUAAAAACUCACAAUUUACACUGAGUAUCCUGACCAGGGCUAAACAAGAGAGAGCUCUAAUAAAUAAACAAUCCAGGAUCCAGAAACACACUGCACAGCUGCAUCAACCUGCCUCGAGGACACAGACAGAGUGAAAGAAGCCACGUGACGUCAGCUGACCUGCUCCAGCAGGAUUCUUUUUUACAAACAAGAAAAACUUUAAUCAGUAAAACAAAAACGAACACUGCAGGUCAGCAGAUAGCGGCUCUGUGCUGCCCGGAGGGCUGUUAACGGCAGCUAAACCUGACGAAGCGGGCACAGGAGGAAAGGGGCAGCGAUGCAUCAGAGUGGAGCGGAGUGGCUCAGGUCAUUGGCGGAGAACAAAGAAGAAGCAGCUACAGAGUAGACAUCCAGCAGUAGAUGGCAGGCUUAAGGAAGAAGAUAACAGCAGGAUAGCAGCAAUUGGUAUCUACUCAAUUAUGUUCCAUGACCUGCCCAGGUUGGUCGAUAUUGGAACCUAUCCUCCGGAGUGUUAACAUCUGAAAUAGAGAUAUAGCUAUGGUUGUGGUCAUUAUGUCCCCACGGUGUAUUGUCUAAGAAUGGAUACGCCCAUAUCCACCUUCUUCUAUAUUAGAGGAGAUUUCAAAGGGACGGAUUACGGUAAUGUUUACCCGUCUUGGAGAAUGCAUCUGCUGGUUAUUACUAAUCGCCAUGUUGUUUGCAAUAUUUUACAAAUUAUUGAUUAAUACUGAUGUUACCGUAUUUGAAAUAUAUGAAAACAGUUUCCCUUUUAUAUAGCUCUUAUGUUUUAGGGAGCGAGGGAGGGUGUGUUACCCUACCAUGACCCCUUGUGUUACUUCUUCUGGCAACCUCAGAUAGCAUCCUUGAGUUGCCUUUUGUCCUUCUAUUUUUUUCUUUAUUUAUUCUUCCCUGCUUUUUCCUAUAACUGCCCCUAAUUUGAUAUGUUGGGUAUUGAUUUUGGUUUUUUAUCUCAUAUCUAGAGUCUAAGGAUUCCACGUAAAUCCCCACCCGAAACUCGAUUUGCUCCAUUUAUAUUACGGCAAUAUGUCAAGUAACAAUAGGUAUAUAAUGAGUCAUAUCCUCAUUACAACUAAAAUAUUAAAAGCGCGCCAUUGGCGCACAUCUUUAAUCCCCUCAAUGGAUGCUAUAUAAAAUGUGGUUCAUUCUCAUUGUGCGUUUAAAAUGGCUGGAGCAGCUUAUUACUCCUCUGCCAAUUGUCCUCAUCUUAUAUGGUUUCAGUGGAACAACUACAGGGCCUUGAAAAAGGGGUGGUAGUCAUGUGACCGCCGGUCGGCUGACCGACAGUCACAUGACCUCCUCCGUGAGCCAGACAGCUCACUAUCCCGAUGGUCGGCAUGCCGACCAACAGGAACUAUUUCCACUCGUGGGUGUCCACGACACCCAUAGAGUGGGAAUAGAAACCGCGGCGACCACAGGUCGCCACCGAGCCCGCAGCGUGGCGAGCGCAGCGAGCCCGCAAGGGGCUUGCUGCACUCGCCCCUCCCCGCCGGGAUCCCAGUGUCGGUAUGCUUCCGGGAUCCCGGCGUCGGUAAGGUGACCGGCGGUCAGGAGACCGCCGGUCACCCAUACUACACCCUUGAAAAAGAGUUAGGGAGGCUUCCUCCACUUAUAUCUCAGAUUCAGUGCUAAUAUAUAGUGAUCCCUCUAUUUUUGUCAUUUAUUUCUAUAUUCAUCGAAUGUACGUUGCGUGUCUCUAGAACAGUGUACUUAUUAAUGGAAUCUCUUGAUGACAUGUUGAAUUGUUCAUGUAACUACACUUGAAUCUCCAUACUAUACUGUGUGCCUAUUUUACUAUAUGUACUUAUAUACCCCUUUCCCCCAUUUUCCCCUCCUUUCUUUUUGUAUUCCCCCAUACUAUGAUGUUUAUAUGUUGAAAAACGUCAAUAAAAAUUCAAUAAUAAAAAUUAAAAUGUAAAA